GUACCAAGUUUGUAGAGACAUGAAAAAAUUGUAAACAGAUAAAUCUGUAGUAUAUGUAUGCUAACUGUAUUAAAACAACAAAUCUGGCCGCCCAAGGAAACAUGGGAGGUGGGGCAGGGCUGCAGACCAGUUUGUUCCUGCUCGUGCUCCGUCAGGCGACACCCAGAGGCCAGACAGCAGGAGGGCAGAGGCACCAGGAGCACUGCAACCCGCACCCCAAACCAGAGACAUGGGCACCCAGACGACCGCCAUCCCACACCCCACCCUCAGUGCUGCCUCCACUCAGUGCUGCCUCCCUCUGGAUAUCAGAAACACUGCAACCGAGACAGAGCACCACCAGGAUCCCACAUCUCCGCCUCACACACCUGCAGUUCCCUCUCACUCCACCAGGGAGCAGCGUGAGCAUGAGAAUGAGUAUGAGGAGGGACUACAGGGGUGUCAGGGCUCCGCUGUGACUCUGGCAGAGACACACACUCACGCUCACACUCACACUCAAGAGCGGAACACGCCCUUGCAGGCACGAGGGGGAGCUCACACACCGACUCCAGAGCUCAUCAGGUUUGGACCGGUGCCAGCUGUCCCUCCACUCCGCACCUGGGCCCAGCAUCGGCCCAUGUGGCAGGCCUGCGUGGACAUGGACCAUCCUCUCACACCCAUUCUGGGAGGAGGACCGCUCUUCCAGCAGGCCAAGGAGGUGAGAAGAGAGCAGCCUUCAGUGCUUGGCGCAGAGGAAGACAGACAGGAAGGUGACGGGCGGGUGGCGGAAGAGAGAGAGAAAGGAGCACUGUGUGAAAACCUGGCACUCUCCGCUAAUGCCGUCUCUGAGGCGACGGCGAGAGCAAGAGCGAGGGAAGCAGAAGAAGUGACGGCGGGGGAGAGAGGUGUGAAGAACAUCUCAGAGGCCGAGACACUUCAGGAAAUCGCAGACAUUCUGCUGAUGAUGAAAUGCAGAAAAAAAGAGUCAGUGAGAGAAAAUCAGCAGCAACGGGAGAAAAACAAAAAAGACACACAGUGAAACCAGACAGAUGUGUGUGUGUUUGUGCACCCUGAGUGUUCAGAGGCCUUUAGAAACAGACACUCAUUUUAACAGACACACACACACAAACCCAUAUACGUACACACACAUAUGCUAAGAUAUACAAAAAAAACAAGUCUACAAGUCCAAGUUCCAAGACAAGUUUGAUAUUUUUUAUUAUUCGUUUUUUCUCCACAGAUUUAAGUUUUAAAAUUGUCAUUAAUAUAUUUACUUUGAUAGAAUAUAAAUUUCUAGCAAAACAUUUACAGCAACAAUAUUCAAAUGUACUGUACAGCACUGUUGAGGCGUGUGGGUCCAUCACUAGUCUUGAAUGUACGGUAGAAACACUGCAUUUAAAACUGUGUAGACUGGAUUUUCUCCCUUUAUGAAAAUGAAAACAAAAUACCUCAAUAUUCCUGUGGGCUUUGUGUGUGUGAUGUGCAUGAACGUUAUUGUUGUCAACCAAAGUGCAUUGUGAAAUCUCAACACAUCAACACAGGUUGCACUGGGGCCUCAUGCACCGCUCAUAGGGUACUUCUACAGAUCGACAAUCAGAUUACCUAGAUCUCCUACAGAUCUACAAUCAGAUUGCCAAGAUCUUCUACAGAUCUACAAUCACAUUAAACUAAAAGUUUACCUCAACAGGAGAUUUAGACCUAUGCCUCCUCUAUUAAAACUCUUAAGCUGUGCACUUAAAACACGAGUAACGUCACAAGAUAUACUAAAUAUCUGUAAAGUGUGCUUGGCUUAGAGACAAGGUCUGUGCAGCACGCAAGGGAAAACAGCAAGCAGACACUUAGUGGCUAGUGAAUUCUGUUGUAUUUUAGUCACUAAACGCCCUGAUUGAUUUCCUCUAUUACCUUUGAAACAGUGCAAGUUUUUAGGAUAUGUGCUCUGCUUCGUGUGACGUUGAAUGACCAAACACAUUUCAAUACUACCUGCUUCAAAGAAAUCCUACAUGAAUCACAAUAGGAUCAGUCAGUUACAGUAUAAAUCUUAUGUGUGAGAGCAUGGUACUUUUGUCAUUUUGUACAAUAGCUACAAUUCCGCUUUCAAUUUAACGUUACCGAUAAUACACAAGUUUAAGUUCAGCGAUGAUGUGACAACCACUUUCCAGGUCAGCUAGCCACAGAAUUGGUUUGCCUGUCUACCAGACAUACACUCACUCACAACUACAAUAUAAAAACAGAACACUGGAGAGAACGGUUCUCUUUGUAAUUUCAAAACAAAUACUCUCACCUAGUCACGUUCACAAACAGAUAUGCUAUGCCUUUUGUACAUAGGGCUAUGAAGGAAGACGAGAAAUUAAAUUCAGCUUAAAUAAAAAAAUAAACAAAUGCA
rnacentral:lncRNA from 1 species